AUAGAUCAUAAUUCCUGGAAUGGUUUAUGGUCCAAAUGAUUUAUCGCCAUAGGAUGGGACUGCGGCCUAUCAGCUUGUUGGUGGGGUAAUGGCCCACCAAGGCUAUAACAGGUACGGGCUCUGAGAGGAGAAGCCCGGAGAUGGGUACUGAGACACGGACCCAGGCCCUAUGGGGCGCAGCAGGCGAGAAACCUUAGCAAUGUGCGAAAGCACGACUAGGUUAAUCCGAGUGACUUCUGCUGAAGAAAUCUUUUGUCAGUUCUAAAUCUACUGGUGAAUAAGGGGUGGGCAAGUCUGGUGUCAGCCGCCGCGGUAAUACCAGCACCUCGAGUGGUUAGGAGGUUUAUUGGGCCUAAGACAUCCGUAGCCGGCUAUGCAAGUCUCCGGUUAAAUCCAUCUGCUUAACAGAUGGGCUGCCGGAGAUACUACAUAGCUAGGGAGCGGGAGAGGCAGACGGUAUUCGGUGGGUAGGGGUAAAAUCCUCUGAUCCAUUGAGGACCACCAGUGGCGAAGGCGGUCUGCCAGAACGCGUUCGACGGUGAGGGAUGAAAGCUGGCGGAGCAAACCCGAUUAGAUACCCGGGUAGUCCCAGCUGUAAACUAUCGGGCUUCUCCUGAUCCAUCCCUUAUGUGUUAUGCACUUGGUGGGGCAAUACCCCAACUUUGCCUGAGGGCCGCAGUCCCCUCCUAUGGCGAUUAAUCAAUUUGACGGAAACCAUUCCGGGAAAUAUC
rnacentral:rRNA from 1 species